rnacentral:rRNA from 1 species
GUGGGGAAUUUUGGACAAUGGGCGAAAGCCUGAUCCAGCGACGCCGCGUGAGUGAUGAAGGCCUUCGGGUUGUAAAGCUCUGUCGGAGGGAACGAAUGAGAACGACCUAAUACGUCGUUCUUUGACGGUACUCUCAAAGGAAGCACCGGCUAACUCUGUGCCAGCAGCCGCGGUAAGACAGAGGGUGCAAGCGUUGUUCGGAAUUACUGGGCGUAAAGGGCGUGUAGGCGGCGGAGUGUGUCCGGCGUGAAAUACCUCGGCUUAACCGGGGAAGUGCACUGGAUACUACUUUGCUUGAGUACGAGAGAGGGUGGCGGAAUUCUCAGUGUAGAGGUGAAAUUCGUAGAUACUGGGAGGAACACCGGAGGCGAAGGCGGCCACCUGGAUCGUUACUGACGCUGAUACGCGAAAGCGUGGGGAGCAAACAGGAUUAGAUACCCUUGUAGUCC